rnacentral:rRNA from 11 species
CACAGGUAGUUGAGGAGAGAAUCCUAAGGUGCUCGAGUGAUUCAUGGCUAAGGAACUAGGCAAAAUAGUCCUGUAACUUCGGGAGAAGGGACGCUUCCCUUGCAGCAAUGUAAGGAAGCCGCAGUGAAAAGAUCCAGGCGACUGUUUAACAAAAACACAUGGCUUUGCGAAAUCGAAAGAUGAAGUAUAAGGCCUGACACCUGCCCGGUGCUGGAAGGUUAAGGAAGGGGGUUAGACUUCGGUCGAAGCUCUUAACUGAAGCCCCAGUAAACGGCGGCCGUAACUAUAACGGUCCUAAGGUAGCGA